CUAUUCAAACUCACUAUCUGAAUCAGUUCAGUUUCUUGAGUCUGAACUACAAGCUGAAAGACAUCGAUCAGCUGUGCUGUGACAAGAAGCGGAAGGACUGCGGAAGUCCCUGGAGCAUUCAGAUGCAUACUUUCUGGUGCAACAGCAAGCGUUGGAGGAUUUUAGCGCCAAACAGGACAAAGCUAAUCAGCUUUUUAAGCUUAUUGCCAGCAUGGUGGAUACCCAGGAUAACGUUUCUUGAGCUCUUCUGAAGUUGUUUCAGUUAUGCUCUUGUUUUGCUGCCGCAUUUAUUUGCGCCGGUGGCCAAUUUUGACGGCCAUUGUAUAUGAUAUGCUGCUUUGUU
rnacentral:rRNA from 1 species